rnacentral:rRNA from 1 species
UACGAAGGGGGCUAGCGUUGCUCGGAAUCACUGGGCGUAAAGGGUGCGUAGGCGGGUCUUUAAGUCAGGGGUGAAAUCCUGGAGCUCAACUCCAGAACUGCCUUUGAUACUGAGGAUCUUGAGUUCGGGAGAGGUGAGUGGAACUGCAAGUGUAGAGGUGAAAUUCGUAGAUAUCGGGAGGAACACCAGUGGCGAAGGCGGCUUUCUGGUCUGCUCUUGACGCUGAGGCGCGAAAGCUAGGGUAGCAAACGGG